CAGGAUCUUAUAACAGGCUGUCCGUCUCCCCCUCUUUACAACAUCCCACCCACUACACACACUCUUUAAAGUGUUACUAAAGAGGCUUAACAGCCCAUUCCAAAAAGCCUGCAUGGGGUAUUUGUACCCCAUAAAAAAAAAGAAAAAAGAAGGAAAGAAAAAAAAAAAAACGCAACAAGCUACAAAUAGUACUUCACUGAGUGCCCUUAUGGAGUUUACACCAGUUGCUGUACUGAGAUGGUUAAGGCCAGCAGCAGUGGCCCAGCCGGACUCCAGACCUGAAUCCCACUGAGAAUCUGUGGAGGAAUUGAAGACCAGUGUGAUGGCAAGGAAACCUAUCAGCUUUAACGACCCAGAUAUCAAAAGAAGAGUGGGCCAAAAUCUCAGCGGAAACUUGUAGAAAGCUUGGUUUGCUGCAGAGGCAUCUGAGACACACAGCUGAUGCCCACUGCUGACUGACAGCUCCAGAGCCUAUUAUGUCAACUUUUCAUGAGCCAUCACAUCUUGUGACCUUCUAUCUUGAGACAGGAAUGCACUGAAAGCAUCCAGCGUCCACAUUUUUCAGAAACACCAAUUGUUUUUUAGUGGUCAACUGCCUUGAAGCACAGCUUGGAUGUUGGUUCAGUUCUGGAGAAUUACAGCAGAAGUGUGCAUGUUUGCUUCCUUUUUGUUUUUCUUGCUGUCAUACUGUUGUGGUUUUUACCGUCCCAAGUUUGAUACUUCUAUUAUUUGUUCAAUCAAGAGAGUCUUGAUCAAUCAAGUGGCAGAGGGAGAAUGUCAGCUAAACCUUCACAUCUUUCCUCUGCGAUUUCACACAACUGCUGAGCACAGUCCAUUUGCAGCCUUGGUUAUGAUACCACAGUCAUGUUUAUCUACACUGAUUAGAUUUAGAAUAACAAGGUAAAAGGGAGGCCAUAAAUUUGGCACAUUAGCCUAGUUUAGACUGAUUGUGGUCACGUUAUGGACUGAUAACCAUAACUGUGGCAGUUCAGUCAGUCUGAAUGCCAUUUUACUGACUGUGAUAGCAAGGAUAGAUUACAAACACCACUCUCACUCUAAUGUAAGAUUACUGACUGUUACAAUACAUGAGUGUGUAAUACUGUUCCAAAACAGUAGUUAGAAAUUGCAUAUGAUGUGUUUUUUGUCGGAGAAAAAAUGAAGUCAAAUCUCAAGUGUUGUGUUGUAUAAACACUAAUGAACUAACCUUUAGUUUGCCAGCUCAUGUUGAACUUGCAAUUAAUGAGAUCUUGUUUUUGUGUAAUGCAAUGUGUAAAAUGUCUUUGUUUCCUGUCCUGUUUGCUUAUUGCUGUUUGAUCACAUUGUGAGCUUUCUGUGUAGUUCAGACAUGCCUAUGGGGUGAAGGAUAAUGAGAUUUGAAAAGGACAAGGUUUGAGAUAUUGCAUAAUUUUGUUAUUGUUAGCAAACUCAAUGAAAAGACCUGAACCAACAGUGCACAAAGUCUGUCCGUCAGCACGUCCUGUUUUUCGCCAUCAUGCCAGCGAUGCUCAAACCCAAGCCAGUUCAUUCUAAUCUAAUAAUAGUAGUAAAUAAAUAUUGAUUUCUGAAACACCUGGGCACCACAGGUCUAUGCUCACUUUGAAUAACAUUUUGGUUGGAGACAAUUUUGAGCCUAACAAGUUAAGUUUGGUGCUAUGGAUAAAUUUCCAGCAGUAUCAGAGUGUUCUGGGUACUGAAAAGACAUAACACUGUGUGUGUUUAAUGGUAAUGAAGGUACAUGUCACCCAGUGCAACAGCGUGGCUCAGUGAUGGGAUUUAAAAAAGAAAAACUAUUUUUUGGACAUCAAUGGAGCUCUGUGGCACAGAGGAAUAUGACAUGUUUUGAUUGCACACAGUACUCAUUAAGAGCAUCAGGUUGUGGUGGGUAUUCAGAGGAUUUGUGGAGAAUUCAAAGGGCACGGAAUAUAAACCAGGGUGCGAACUACAAGGGAGCCAGGGAGAGCUUGGUUGGCUCCUCUUAAUAAGACAUGAGCUCCCCUGGAAACAUUAUUUGUGGAAUUUUUGGUGGGGUUCUUUUGCCAUGCUCUUCUCUGUUUUUGUAUCUGUAAAUUAGGCUAUUAUUGAUGUAUGAUUCAUGGAUGAGGGUGAUUCAUCAUUAAUUCACUUUAAUAAAGAUACCAGCAUGCGUGCUAUUCUUGCCGUCACCAUCGAAGCAUGGUGGCGCAACAUCAUAGAGCUCACUUGGUGCAGUGGAUGAUUGUUAUUACGAAAUAAACAGCAUCUCUGUCUCUACA